rnacentral:rRNA from 1 species
GCUCCUACGGGAGGCAGCAGUGGGGAAUAUUGCACAAUGGGGGAAACCCUGAUGCAGCGACGCCGCGUGGAGGAAGAAGGUCUUCGGAUUGUAAACUCCUGUCCUUGGGGACGAUAAUGACGGUACCCAAGGAGGAAGCACCGGCUAACUACGUGCCAGCAGCCGCGGUAAAACGUAGGGUGCAAGCGUUGUCCGGAUUUACUGGGUGUAAAGGGAGCGUAGACGGCGGCGCAAGUCCGGAGUGAAAGCCCACGGCCCAACCGUGGGACUGCUCUGGAAACUGUGCGGCUUGAGUGCGGGAGGGG